rnacentral:tRNA from 1 species
GUUUCUGUGGUGCAAUUGCUCAGCGCGUUCGGCUGUUAACCGAAAGGUUGGUGGUUCAAGCCCACCCAGGGACG